rnacentral:rRNA from 1 species
UAAACUAGGAUUAGAUACCCUAUUAUAAAAAAUGUAAGUUUAUACUGGAGUAGUAAUAGUUAAGAUCUUGAAACUCAAAAAAUUUGGCGGUAUUUUAGUCUUUUCAGAGGAACCUGUAGUAUAAUCGAUAAUCCACGAUGGACCUCACUUAAUUUUGUUUGUCAACUUGUAUACCGCUGUUAUUUGAAGAUUUUAUAAGAAUAGUAAUUUUCAUAAUUUUAUAAGUGAUAAUAAGUCAGGUCAAGGUGCAGUUAUAAUUAAGAAUUUAUGGGUUACAAUAAAUUUAUUUAAGCGAAUUAUUUUUUGAAAUUAAUUUAUGAAGAUGGAUUUGAAAGUAAAUUUU